rnacentral:rRNA from 1 species
UUUGGAGGGCAAGUCUGGUGCCAGCAGCCGCGGUAAUUCCAGCUCCAAUAGCGUAUAUUAAAGUUGUUGCAGUUAAAAAGCUCGUAGUUGAAUUUUGGGGUUAGCAGGUUGGUCGUGCCACUGGUACGUACUGGCCUUGUGGAUUCCUCCUUCUUGACGAGCCGUAAUGCCAUUAAUUUGGUGUUGCGGGGAAUCAGGACUGUUACUUUGAAAAAAUUAGAGUGUUAAAAGCAGGCA